UUUACACCUUCGAUAUACGAUAUAUCUCAGAUUGGGCUUGGUGGUCAUGGGUUGUUGCUGAAUUUUGGCUUCUUUUUCACUCUAACCUAUGCUUUGUUUUACGUGUGCUUGGAUAAGAAAGCUGGAACUCUGGCUGCUCUGCUCUGCUUUGCGUGUUGGGUUGGUGCCAGUUUCAUUUCUGCGAGGCUUGGGUAUUCUUUGGCUUGGAAGGUUGUGCUGGCAGCGUUGUUUUGUUGGACUGGACAGUUUCUAGGCCAUGGGGUGUUUGAGAAACGGGUUCCUGCUAUUCUUGACAACCUUGCACAAGCCCUUCUAAUGGCUCCUUUCUUUGUAUUGCUUGAGGUUAUUCAAUCGGCCUUUGGAUAUGAACCAUAUUCAGGGUUUCAUGCAAGCGUUAAAGCAAAAAUAGAUGCGGAGAUCAAGGAAUGGAAGGAUAAUAAACAAAAGAAAUCCACUUAGCUUACAGAGUCACCAAACAGACAAAAAUUGUGCACUUCAACUUCUAAGCACAAUGGAAAAUUUGUCUAGUGAUGUUGUAGUAUGA
rnacentral:misc_RNA from 1 species